rnacentral:rRNA from 1 species
UACGGAGGGUGCAAGCGUUAUCCGGAUUCACUGGGUUUAAAGGGUGCGUAGGUGGGCAGGUAAGUCAGUGGUGAAAUCUCCGGGCUUAACCCGGAAACUGCCAUUGAUACUAUCUGUCUUGAAGACCGUGGAGGUGAGCGGAAUAUGUCAUGUAGCGGUGAAAUGCUUAGAUAUGACAUAGAACACCAAUUGCGAAGGCAGCUCACUACACGAAUAUUGACACUGAGGCACGAAAGCGUGGGGAUCAAACAGG